rnacentral:rRNA from 1 species
UACGUAGGGGGCAAGCGUUGUCCGGAAUCAUUGGGCGUAAAGCGCGUGUAGGCGGUUCGGUAAGUCUGCUGUGAAAGUCCAGGGCUCAACCCUGGGAUGCCGGUGGAUACUGUCGGACUAGAGUGCGGAAGAGGCGAGUGGAAUUCCCGGUGUAGCGGUGAAAUGCGCAGAUAUCGGGAGGAACACCAAUUGCGAAGGCAGCUCGCUGGGACGUUACUGACGCUGAGACGCGAAAGCGUGGGUAGCAAACAGG